rnacentral:rRNA from 1 species
UACGUAGGGUGCAAGCGUUGUCCGGAAUUAUUGGGCGUAAAGAGCUCGUAGGCGGUCUGUCGCGUCGGCUGUGAAAACUCGGGGCUCAACUCCGAGCUUGCAGUCGAUACGGGCAGGCUAGAGUUCGGCAGGGGAGACUGGAAUUCCUGGUGUAGCGGUGAAAUGCGCAGAUAUCGGGAAGAACACCCGUGGCGAAGGCGGCACUCUGGGACGGUACUGACGCUGAGACGCGAAAGCGUGGGGAGCGAACAGG